GUGCUUGCUUCAACAGCACAUAUGCUAAAAUCGGAAUGAUACCGAGAAGAUGAGCAUGGCCCCUGCGCAGGGAUGACACACAAAUUCAUGAAGCAUUCCAUAUUUUU
ensembl:snRNA U6 U6 spliceosomal RNA